CCAAACCCUAGCCAUACACCCACACCUCAACCUCACACAGUCAUGCCCUCUCCUCCUCGCAUCUCUCAGGAGCGGCGGCGUGCCCCUUCGGCUCGACGCGGAGUAGAGCGACGACACACCCUCCGGCGCCGGCAUGUGAAGCUGAGCAGCAGCGCAGACCAGAGCUGCAGCGCCCUCCCGUCCCCUUCCCUCGACCCCAAGCCACGGCACAUUCUCGAGGCAACGGUGCGCUCCUUGGGCGGCGACGUGGCCUGGCACGACCCCAAGACGCUGGUGCAUGCACCCAUCAAGCUCUUCGCAGGGCCAGUCCCCUGGCGGCUGUCCAUCCAGGCCCAAAGUUGCAACUCGUGCCCAGUAGGUUCCCCUCCCUAAUCCUAAUCAAAUCGAUUUGGCUUUGAUUUCAAUAUCCAUGCUGCAGAUCUAGUGAAGGGGAGGAGGAGAAGUAGAUCUAAUGAUGAUUUGGUGACUCCGUCUGCCUAUUUCCCUGAUGAAGACUUCCUGAGAGCAGAGUUAGGAAACCGACCAUCGCAGAUUCAAGGUCUAUUCCUACCGCUACAGUUUAGUUGCAUGAAUGUAUGUGUUGUUAUUUAUUAUUCUUAUAAUUUUUUGGCCUGAUGAGUUACUGAGUCCUUAUUGGUACAUCUAACUGAAGUAGGGAAAUGAAAAGCUUGAAUUAUACUGCAGUAGUAAAGGUGCGUCUAACACAUCUUUCCCAUUAGCCUAUUUUGUACCGUAAGUAGCAUAUGUUUCAUCCAUAGGGUGUUUUAGAUUUUGGUAAACUAGCAUGGGUGUUUUCUGUAUGGUCAGUAUGAAGGAAUUGGAAAGGCCAACCUUUGAUGCUAUCUUUGACAGGUAAGAGAACCAAAAUGAGCUUUCUGAGGCAUGUAUUUGUUAUAUGCAGUGGAUCUUCACUAUGUACUGAAUCAGGGCAAAUAAGAGUAGCAGCAAAAAUUCUGCAUAUGGGCGAUACUUAGUGAUUUGUUGAUAAUGUGUUUUGCUCCAUUAACUAGUGAUUGUCUUGCCUAGAGAAAACUAGAAUAAAAGUAGCUGUAGAACUGAGGCGUUACUUAGUUGUUUUUCUAGAAAUCUACUUCUGCAUCCUGAGUUCCUGACACAAGCACUUGUGUAUUUGUUAGAUUUUUUUGUGAUUUGUUUGCACCUGUGAUUUGUAAAGUAACCAAUCUUAUUUCAUGUUGAUGCAAGAUGUGACCAGACUGGAUUUGCCUUCUGGAUAGCGAGCAGUAGUGCUUGGGCCGGUGGUUCCAUGGAGAUGUUCGUCUGCUGCUAUGUGGUAUACAACUAAUGAGAUUGAAUAGGGAUCGUUAGUGAUUUGAUUUGAGGAUGAAUUUUGUGAGGAUGUGUGCUGGUCAUCUACUGAAUAAAAUUAUUUUUACUCAAUCUACUUUGGUGCAUGAUGAGUUGAAAGGCACAUCUGUAGGUAUAACAGGAUACGAAUGUUUGAGAAUUAAUAUGCUAGGAACAUCUGAUAAUCAGUACGGAGUAUGUUAAGAAAUUAAUGCAUUCUUGCUAUUUUUCAGACUAAGCAUAGCCUGCAGGCUAUAUUAAGGAACCACAGCAGGGCACUAGAGCACGACACUAUGACAUUGCAACUAGACCACAAAAUUAGUAUCUAUUGGCUAAGUUAAUAUUUCUAUUAAAUUGGCUCGUAGUUGGACUAUCUAGGAUCAUGUGAUGCAGAGCCCACAGACCUACGGCAUGGAAACAGGCAUGGAGUUGGUGCUAUCUAACGUGGAUGCACAUGGCGGCGUAGGGCAGCAGGGAAGCACCUUGCCUUUCAUGUCGAUUGGCAUUGGGUCAAUGGUGAUAAGUGUAGCUUUACUAACAUGUAGAGAACCUCCUUUAGUAUUUGUUGAUGUUCCACUACACUUGUCAUCAUGUGAAUAUUUUAAACCAGGCAAACAUUAGUGUGUAUGCUACUUAUAAUGUUGUAAUUGUAUUGCAUUUUAAAACUUGAAUGCUUGUGAUAUUGCAAUGAUUUGUGGAGAUUACUUAUUUGAA